CCUACGGGUGGCAGCAGUGGGGAAUAUUGCACAAUGGGGGAAACCCUGAUCCAGCGACGCCGCGUGCGUGAAGAAGUAUUUCGGUAUGUAAAGCUCUAUCAGCAGGGAAGAAAAUGACGGUAACUGACUAAGAAGCCUCGGCUAACUACGUGCCAGCAGCCGCGGUAAUACGUAGGGGGCGAGCGUUAUCCGGAUUUACUGGGUGUAAAGGGAGGGUUGACGGUGCAGCAAGUUUGCUGUGAAAGGUCGGGGCCCAACCCCGGGACUGCAGUGGAAACUGUUGAACUGGAGUACAGGAGAGGUAAGCGGAAUUCCUAGUGUAGCGGUGAAAUGCGUAGAUAUUAGGAGGAACACCAGUGGCGAAGGCGGGUUACUGGACUGUAACUGACGUUGAGGCUCGAAAGCGUAGGGAGCAAACAGGAUUAGAUACCCGAGUAGUC
rnacentral:rRNA from 1 species